UUUAGCAUAUCUUCAUGUAAUUUUUACAGACCCAUACCUUUUCUGAAUCUUGAGAGAUGCUUACAUUGUGUGGCAUACACUACCUGUGAUCGAUGUUAUUGCAUCAUACUUACCAUACAUGUAGUUUAUCUUUCCUCUGAUAGUUGCUAGGUUAAGAACCUGUGGAGAAAAUACGGUUUACUAAACAUUCCUCAAAACUAGCUUUGCACACUGUUCAAUUGAUCGUGUUGUUACAGGGUUUGUCUGUUUGCUUCUUGUUUUGCCACAUGAGCAAAUUUAGGUUAGAUCCCUCCAGGAGAUGUAAUGCAUAAUCACAGAAAGAGUAACUACAAACACAUGAAGCCAAGAGGAGGUAUUCAAGAAGGAAGAAGGGUUGCAUAUGGAGAAACUUCGGUUCGGAUCAUUCUGAGGUGAUAUGUAUGUGCAUCGGCCUUCAAAGAAAGGAGCAACGUGAAGCACAUAAACCUCACACCAAGAGUCAAGAGAAGGUAUUAUUCCACAAAAGGAACCACAGCAAUUGCCAAUUUAGAUAGGUUCCUUUCCACUCCAGUGAAGGAUUGGUCGGCCUGGAAAAGAACCAAUUGUUGAGCAAAGAAUAUAUCCUGUGCUUACACACACGUCUUCCUGUCCAUCUUUUAGGCGAAGAUGGCCUGGUUAACGAAACCAUGCUGUUCCUUGCAUACAAACAGCGAAUCCUCCUAUCCUGAAUUCCAUGGAUUCAAUUUCUGUGCAUAUAUAUAUAUAUCCUGAAUUCUCACGGUCU